rnacentral:rRNA from 1 species
ACACGUGGUAUCCUGUCUGAAUAUGGGGGGACCAUCCUCCAAGGCUAAAUACUCCUGACUGACCGAUAGUGAACCAGUACCGUGAGGGAAAGGCGAAAAGAACCCCGGCGAGGGGAGUGAAAAAGAACCUGAAACCGUGUACGUACAAGCAGUGGGAGCACAGGUUUACCUGUGUGACUGCGUACCUUUUGUAUAAUGGGUCAGCGACUUAUAUUCUGUAGCAAGGUUAACCGAAUAGGGGAGCCGGAGGGAAACCGAGUCUUAAUUGGGCGUUAAGUUGCAGGGUAUAGACCCGAAACCCGGUGAUCUAGCCAUGGGCAGGUUGAAGGUUGGGUAACACUAACUGGAGGACCGAACCGACUAAUGUUGAAAAAUUAGCGGAUGACCUGUGGCUGGGGGUGAAAGGCCAAUCAAACCGGGAGAUAGCUGGUUCUCCCCGAAAGCUAUUUAGGUAGCGCCUCGUGAAUUCAUCUCCGGGGGUAGAGCACUGUUUCGGCUAGGGGGCCAUCCCGGCUUACCAACCCGAUGCAAACUGCGAAUACCGGAGAAUGUUAUCACGGGAGACACACGGCGGGUGCUAACGUCCGUCGUGAAGAGGGAAACAACCCAGACCGCCAGCUAAGGUCCCAAAGUCAUGGUUAAGUGGGAAACGAUGUGGGAAGGCCCAGACAGCCAGGAUGUUGGCUUAGAAGCAGCCAUCAUUUAAAGAAAGCGUAAUAGCUCACUGGUCGAGUCGGCCUGCGCGGAAGAUGUAACGGGGCUAAACCAU